GUACGCGAGCUGGGUUCAGAACGUCGUGAGACAGUUCGGUCUCCUAUCUGUUGCGGGCGUUGAAUAUUGAAAAGGCUCACUCCUAGUACGAGAGGACCGGAGUGGAUAAACCUCUAGUGUGCCAGUUGUUCCAUCAGGGGCAUUGCUGGGUAGCUACGUUUAGCGCGGAUAAACGCUGAAAGCAUCUAAGCGUGAAGCCGUCUUUAAGAUUAAUAUUCGUUCAGACCCCUUGUAGACUACAAGGUUGAUAGGCGUCAGGUGUAAGCAUAGCAAUAUGUUGAGCCGAGACGUACUAAUUGGUCGAGCGUACGACGAG
rnacentral:ncRNA from 1 species